rnacentral:rRNA from 1 species
UACGUAGGGGGCAAGCGUUGUCCGGAAUCAUUGGGCGUAAAGAGCGUGUAGGCGGCUUGGUAAGUCCGCUGUGAAAGUCCAGGGCUCAACCCUGGAAAGCCGGUGGAAACUGUCAAGCUUGAGUCCGGAAGAGGCGAGUGGAAUUCCUGGUGUAGCGGUGAAAUGCGCAGAUAUCAGGAGGAACACCAGUGGCGAAGGCGGUUCUCUGGGCAUGUCCUGACGCUGAGGAGCGAAAGUGUGGGGAGCGAACAGG